rnacentral:tRNA from 1 species
GCGAGAGUGGUGGAAUGGCAGACACGCCAGACUUAGGAUCUGGUGCCGGAAGGCGUGAGGGUUCAAGUCCCUUCUCUCGCA